ensembl:rRNA 5S_rRNA 5S ribosomal RNA
GUGUACGGACAAACCAGCUGAAGAAUGCCCAAUCUUGUCUGAUCUCCGAAGCUAAGAAGGCUUGGGCCUGGUUAGUACUUGGAUGGGAGACUACCUGGGAAUACCAGGUGCUGUAAGCU